CAAAAAUGAAAAAAGAGAACUGCAAGAACUCUAAAUCUUCUGGAUUGAACUGCUCUUGCCUUCAAAACAUCUUUUCCAUAAAUAGCUUGAUUGAAAAUUAUGCAACAACUUCUCAUUAAUAGCUUUUGGUAGGAUCUGCUAUUUGUUAAAGUAUACUUCCUGUUUUCUCAACUUCCGUUUUCCCUUCUGUUUCUGGACAACCUGGAGAAGAUUUAGAAACAGCCAACAGUAACAUAAAUAAUUACAAUAUAGAUCCUGCUAGUAUGCAAUAAAUUGUGUAAAAAUAAUCAUCCCAAACAAAUUUUAGAUCUACAUAGAAAUAUAUUGCAGUGUUAUAAAAGGCAAAUAGCAAAUCAAAACACCAAGGUCUUCUAGGAUUUUACCUUAUAAAACAGUUCGAUGCAAUGAUACAAUUUAAAGUUUCUAAUUAAUAUUUAGUGACUAGUAUUCUAAGCUAUAUUUCUAUUUUUUUUAAUCAUCAAUAUAUCUAUUUAAUCUAACCUCUGCAUAAAAUUAGUGCAUCACUUUAGCUCUCUCUCUCUCUUCAAAGCAAAGUCUGUAUGAUGAGGUGCAUGCCCCUUGGUGCUUGAUUUUUUUUUCCUUCAUUGGUGCUUGAGUUGAAGUGCCACCUAAGUGAAAUGAAGUGCGAUGUUUUGGGGUUUAUGCUUCACCAAGUUUUAGGUGGCAAACACAUAAACUGACCCUUUCACAACACUAAUAUACCAAAAUCCUAGUUUUGUAACAUGUAGGAGGUUUUUCCCUUUUCAUUUUUAGUCUUCACAGACUCAGUUAAUGAUGUCUUUCAGAAAAGUAGCUAUGAACAUCUCUUCUAAAUUUAAAUGGUGGGACAGUUUUCUCUUCCUGUGGUUCCUACAAAAAGCAGGUGGUAUCAACCAUAGUAUUACUCUAAGUUGGUCUCUGCCAAGCACUAACUUUUUAUGAUGAGCUUUUGAUACGCUAUUGAGCCUCAAUAACUGUUAGAUUGUAAAGAAUUAUACAUCAUUCGUCAAAUGUCAGUCGAGCACUAGCUUUUCAUGAAGAGCUUUUGGUGAGCUGAUAUUAAAAAUUAUAGACCAACUGCCUUGCAACCUAAGAGUUGCCCAAAUUCUUGCAUCUGUAUGUUCCUUGUUCUCUCUAGACCCAUUUGGACCAAAACUCAACCAUUCACACGUAUCUUGUUUCUCUUCUUGUUGCCUGCCAGGCUCUACGUCCUUUUUCCUUCCUGUUUGAAAAUGAAAACUUAUUUGACAUAUUCCUUGGGCAGGCAUCUCCAUGGUGAAGAUUCUAUUUGGACCUUGCUAAUAGAGUGACUUUUGAUACCCUUUUUGAAAAGUAUUUUUCAGGCGAACCUUCCGAUCUUAUUGAUCUUCCGCAGGCUUAUCUCACUAGAUCAUUAUUCAUUUACUUAAGAUUGUAGUACCAUUCUGGUUAUUUUUCAAGCUGACCGAGCUGCUUGUUUAUAUGCAUGACAUCUUCUCUUUGCAUUUUUUCAAUCUAAGGAUUAUUCCAUCAUUAUAUCAACACCUAGUGGAGAUACAACUUAUAUCCUGAUUUUCAGCUUAGACAUUUUCCAGGUGAUCUUUGUGCAGAUUUUUGUUCACAAAUUUCAUUCUUCUUCAAGGAUAAUGUAAAUUUUUUUAUUUUUUUUUGAGAACUGAGAAAUCCAUCUGUGACCCACCCUUUGGACCAAUCACAGCCUUCUAAACUCGGUGGAUAAUGGGCCCGCCCUCUACCCUUCUCCACUUAAAAUACCGGGCUUCGCUUUGCAUGGUGUGGGCUUGAACCUGCGACCUAAGCCACAAAUCCUCCACCUUUUGCCACUUGAGCUAGGCCUUGGGUGCAGGGAUAAUGUAAAUUUUUUUAUUUUUUUUGUAUAACCGAGAAAUCCGUCUGUGACCCACCCUUUGGACCAAUCACAGCCUUCUAAACUCGGUGGAUAAUGGGCCCGCCCUCUACCCUUCUCCACUUAAAAUACCGGGCUUCGCUUUGCAUGGUGUGGGGCUUGAACCUGCGACCUAGCCACAAUCCUCCACCUUUUGCCUACUUGAGCUAGGCCUUGGGGGCAGGGAUAAUGUAAAUUUUUUAUUUUUUUGAUAACCGAGAAAUCCGUCUGUGACCCACCCUUUGGACCAAUCACAGCCUUCUAAACUCGGUGGAUAAUGGGCCCGCCCCUCUACCCUUCUCCACUUAAAUACCGGGCUUCGCUUUGCAUGGUGUGGGGCUUGAACCUGCGACCUAAGCCACAAAUCCUCCACCUUUUGCCACUUGAGCUAGGCCUUGGGGGCAGGGAUAAUGUAAAUUUCCAAAGUAUAUUUGUUGAGUUUACCAAAGUUUUCAUCUUUUUCUUAUUUAUUUGGAACAUUUACUUUUGGGUCCAACUUUAUAACAUAAGAUCGAGUUAAACCUUUUGUUAUUUGAUUCAUAUUUCAUAAGAUGUUAGCCAAGGGUCCUACUAUCUACUAUUUUUAAGGGGUCGUUUGGUUCGAAUACAAGUUAUGAUGGGAUAACUUAUGCUGGGAUUAUUUCUUAUUGAGUGUUUGGUUUGUUGUAUUCAAAAUAACAUGCAUUGCAUAAAUUUUAAAAACAAGUUGUUUGUUUACAAAAAACACCCUCCACUUUAUUUAGUUUUCUUUAUUCUUAAAAAUAAAACUUUCAUCUUAUUUAGCUUAAAUAUUUUUGUUUGUGCAUUCCCGUGAUGGUAUCGUAUGUAUUUAAAAAUAAAACUUUCUUCUUAUUUAGCUUAAAAAUAGAACUUCCAUCUUAAGUUUGUUAAAAUAAUUUGUUUUAUGAGAAAUCAAAAUAUAAAUAAACAUAAGAAUUAGUCAAAUAAAUUCAUAAAUAAAAAUUAUAUUUAUAUAGUGUAAUUUUUUAAUAGAAAAAUAUGAAGAAUUAUCAUAAAAUAAGAAGUGGUGAAGGUUGUGAAUGUUAUUAUACAUGGUAUUAAAAAUAAUGUAAAUAUUGAAUGUGAAAAGUGAUGUAUAUAAAGGGUUUAAAAAGAUAUUUUCGUCAUUUACCUAUGUUAUGCCGGGAUAAGUUAUACCGGGAUUACUAUACCACCCAAGGGGAGGGAUAACAUAUCCCGGUAUUAGUACCGGGAUAAGUUAUCCCACACUUGCCAACCAAACAACACAUUAAGUGCCACUAUAAUUUAAUCCCAGGACUAUUUGAUGUUAUCCUUCACACUAAACGACCCCUAAGUGGAGAGUAUCUCUGGCUAUUCAGUGAAAUUUACAUCACAUUUUGGCAAGUAACUGACUUUGAGAAAAGUGUAGAUGAAAUUAAUGUGGUCAGAUCAAUACUUCCCUUCUUCAAAGUCUUUUGAAGCAGAUCUUCAAUAAUAAGCAGCAGAUACAAAUUGAUGCGACUUUUUAAGUUAACAAAAGAAACAAGAAACUUAUUCUGAAAAGAAAAUAACAAACAAGAAGUCUUAUUCUUGGGAGGAGAGAAGUCCUAUUUUUGGUGCAAGGAAACUUCAAACUUGGGCUUCUUGCACUUCUUUCAUGACUUGGUGACAUGAUUUGUCGAGUUAGCAAAGGGCCAAUCGAGGAGGAUCGUGAUUUUCAAGAAGAAACAAGGGUUGAGUGGUUUCAUAGAACAUGAAAAAUUAGUGCAACCCAUACUCACCAAGCUCUAAGUUGCAUUUUUCCAGCUUGUCAUAGAGUUUCU
rnacentral:lncRNA from 1 species